rnacentral:rRNA from 1 species
AGAGUUUGAUCAUGGCUCAGAUUGAACGCUGGCGGCAGGCCUAACACAUGCAAGUCGAACGGUAACAGGAAACAGCUUGCUGUUUCGCUGACGAGUGGCGGACGGGUGAGUAAUGUCUGGGAAACUGCCUGAUGGAGGGGGAUAACUACUGGAAACGGUAGCUAAUACCGCAUAACGUCGCAAGACCAAAGAGGGGGACCUUCGGGCCUCUUGCCAUCGGAUGUGCCCAGAUGGGAUUAGCUAGUAGGUGGGGUAACGGCUCACCUAGGCGACGAUCCCUAGCUGGUCUGAGAGGAUGACCAGCCACACUGGAACUGAGACACGGUCCAGACUCCUACGGGAGGCAGCAGUGGGGAAUAUUGCACAAUGGGCGCAAGCCUGAUGCAGCCAUGCCGCGUGUAUGAAGAAGGCCUUCGGGUUGUAAAGUACUUUCAGCGGGGAUGAAGGGAGUAAAGUUAAUACCUUUGCUCAUUGACGUUACCCGCAGAAGAAGCACCGGCUAACUCCGUGCCAGCAGCCGCGGUAAU